AUUGAACGCUGGCGGCAUGCUUUACACAUGCAAGUCGAACGGUAACAGGCCUUCGGGUGCUGACGAGUGGCGAACGGGUGAGUAAUGCAUCGGAACGUGCCCAAUCGUGGGGGAUAACGUAGCGAAAGUUACGCUAAUACCGCAUAAGCCCUGAGGGGGAAAGUGGGGGACCGCAAGGCCUCACGCGAAUGGAGCGGCCGAUGUCAGAUUAGCUAGUUGGUGGGGUAAAGGCUCACCAAGGCGACGAUCUGUAGCGGGUCUGAGAGGAUGAUCCGCCACACUGGGACUGAGACACGGCCCAGACUCCUACGGGAGGCAGCAGUGGGGAAUAUUGCGCAAUGGGCGAAAGCUUGACGCAGCAACGCCGCGUGGGUGAGAAGGCCUGGUGUAAGACCUGUCAGGGGAGGAAGUAGGACGUCGUAA
rnacentral:rRNA from 1 species